CCGUAGCUCAGUGGUAGAGCGGUCGGCUCAUAACCGAUUGGUCACAGGUUCGAACCCUGUCGGGCC
rnacentral:tRNA from 1 species